UUCUAAAAGCAAUUAUUUUUAGUAAAGCCUGCUCAAUGAAAAUUAAAUAGCCGCAGAUUCCUCUGUGCUAAGGUAGCAUAAUCAAUUGCCUUCUAAUUAAAGGAUAGAAUGAACGGCUUAACAUGUAAAUUACUUUAUUAAAAAGACUAUUUUAAUUUUUCUUAUAAGUAAAAAGACUUAUAUUAAUAGGAGGGACGACAAGACCCUGUCAAACUUUUUAUAUUAUUUUGCUGGGGCGGCAAAAAAUAAAUUUCACUUUUAUUUUCCUUUAUUUAAUAACCUAAAAUAAGAUUUUUAACAAGUUACUGCAGGGAUAACAGCACAAUUCUUUUAUAGAGUCCUUAUCUAAAAAAGAGAUUAUGACCUCGAUGUUGAAUAGAAAAUCUAAAAUAAGCAACCUUAUUUUAAGAAAGUCUGUUCGACUUUUAAUAUUCUACA
rnacentral:rRNA from 1 species